CGGCGGCGGAGGGAGUGGAGGUCGCCGCCGGGGCAGAACUGCACGACAACGCAGGAGAAGCGCGGGGCGGCGUCGAAGUCGGCGAAGAGCGUGGGGAGGAACGGGUGGUCGAGCAGCCGCAGGAUGCGCUUCUCGGCGGCCGCCCGCUCCAGCUUGUGCUUCUUGGCCACGGCGCGCCGGUCCACCACCUUCAAGCAGGGGAUGCAGUGGCCCGCCCUUCUCCAGGCCUGUAGAGAGACAGGUUAUGGGCUGUGCAAUCGCAAUGUAUUGAUCGGUGCACCAGACACGUAUAUAUAA
rnacentral:rRNA from 1 species